rnacentral:rRNA from 1 species
CAAUAGCGUAUAUUAAAGUUGUUGCAGUUAAAAAGCUCGUAGUUGAACUUCAGACCUGGCCGGGCGGUCCGCCUAACGGUGUGUACUGUCUGGCUGGGUCUUACCUCUUGGUGAGCCGGCAUGCCCUUCACUGGGUGUGUCGGGGAACCAGGACUUUUACCUUGAGAAAAUUAGAGUGUUCAAAGCAGGCAUAUGCCCGAAUACAUUAGCAUGGAAUAAUAAAAUAGGACGUGCGGUUCUAUUUUGUUGGUUUCUAGAGUCGCCGUAAUGAUUAAUAGGGAUAGUUGGGGGCAUUAGUAUUCAGUUGCUAGAGGUGAAAUUCUUGGAUUUACUGAAGACUAACUACUGCGAAANCANNNGCCAAGGAUGUUUUCAUNAA